AUUGAACGCUGGCGGCAUGCUUUACACAUGCAAGUCGAACGGCAGCGCGGGGGCAACCCUGGCGGCGAGUGGCGAACGGGUGAGUAAUGUAUCGGAACGUAUCCUGUAAUGGGGGAUAACCAGUCGAAAGAUUGGGUAAUACCGCAUACGCACGAGAGUGGAAAGUAGGGGAUCGCAAGACCUUACGUUAUAGGAGCGGCCGAUAUCUGAUUAGCUAGUUGGUGGGUAAAGGCCUACCAAGGCGACGAUCAGUAGCUGGUCUGAGAGGAUGAUCAGCCACACUGGGACUGAGACACGGCCCAGACUCCUACGGGAGGCAGCAGUGGGGAAUUUUGGACAAUGGGCGAAAGCCUGAUCCAGCCAUGCCGCGUGCGGGAAGAA
rnacentral:rRNA from 1 species